CCCUAUCCGACCUAUGACAAAGAUAUUUAUGCUCUAGUAAGGUCUCUUGAAACUUGGCAACAUUAUCUUUUGUCUAAAGAGUUUGUUAUUCAUACAGAUCAUGAGACGCUUAAGCAUCUAAGAGGUCAGACCACACUCAAGAGGAGACACGCCAGAUGGUUGGAGUUUAUGGAGACUUUCCCUUAUGUGAGUAAGUACAAGAAGGGCAAAGACAAUGUGGUGGCCGGUGCCUUGUCCCAAAGAUAUACUCUUAUCUCGACCAUGGAAGCUAAGAUCAUGGGUUUUGAAUUUAUUAAAGAUUCUUAUGCUACUGACCUUGAUUUUCAAGAAGCUUUCAGGAACACUACACAAGGAGCAUUUAGUCCUUACUAUCAGCAUGAUGGUUUCUUAUUCAAGGAAAAGAAACUAUGCAUUCCCAAAGGUUCUAUGAGGGAAUUGCUUGUCCGGGAGGCCCAUGGUGGCGGCCUCAUGGGGUACUUUGGCCGAGAUAAGACCUUAAGUGCCCUAACCGACCAUUUCUUUUGGCGAAACAUGAAGAGAGAUGUUGAAAACCAAUGCGCCAAAUGCACAGUCUAUCUUAAGAUAAAAUCUAGGUCACAUCCUUAUGUUUUAUACAUGCCUUUUCUUAUUCCUAACCACCCUUGGGUAGAUGUUUCCAUGGACUUUGUGCUGGGCUUGCCCAAGAUAAACCACAAAGAUUCCAUUUUUGUAGUGGUGGGCAGGUUUUCCAAGAUGACCCAUUUCAUAGCAUGUAACAAGACCAAUGAUGCUACCCAGACUGCCGACAUUUUCUUUGAAGAGGUGGUCCGCCUACAUGGUGUUCCGAGAACCAUUGUGUCUGACCAAGACUCCAAAUUCCUAAGCCAUUUCUGGAGAACAUUGUGGGGUAAAAUCGGUACUAAACUAUUGUUCUCGACCACUUGUCAUCCAGAGACUGACGGCCAACAGAAGUAGUAAACUGUACACUCUCUCAGUUAUUGAGAGCUACGGUCCGUAAGAACUUAAAGAAUUGGUUAUCUUGUUUGCCGUUUAUUGAGUUUGCUUACAACCAUGCUAAGCACUCUGCUACCAACCUCUCUCCUUUUGAAGUUGUCUAUGGUUUUCAGCCAGAAACGCCACUCAACUUCUCCGAGCUCCCCCAGUUCCAUGUACCACAGCCGAGAUGGUGCUAGUAAGGCCGAGUUCGUUAAGAACAUGCAUCUGAAGGUCAAGGAGAAACUAGAGGCCAAGAUGGCCAAGCUUAAGGUCCGGCUUGACCAGAAGAGAAAGGAGGUGUUGUUCGAACCAGGCGAUUUAUUGUGGCUGCACAUGCGACAUGAGCGGUUUCCAGAAGAGAGGAAGUCCAAACUGUCGGCAUGAGGGACUAGCCCAUUCAGGGUCCUUGAGAAGAUCAAUGACAAUACUUACAAGCUAGAGCUUCCAGGUGAGUUUAGAACUUCUCGUGUUCAAUGUAUCUGAUUUGUCCCUUUUUCUUGUAGAUGAUGGUGUUCAGAGGCCAGAGCCUUUUCAAGGGGGAGAGAAUGAUGAGGCCAUCCAAAUAGAGGUGUCCAUAGUUAGGCGUGGUCUGACUACCCGAAGUGGAGCCAAAGCCAUAAGAGAAGGUUUCUCCAAAGCCGUCCAACAGAUCCUAGAUCAAGAUGGACAAACUGGCCAGAACCAGCUGGUGAUUGAAGAGAUUAUCCAAUUGAAGAUUCAAGAUCAAGCCGGUCCAAUUGAAUUCAGAUCCUUCGGCCAGAACCGAACCGGCCAAAUCAUCUCCACAUGUGAUCUCGGUUCAGACCCCUUCCCAAUCCAAUCCGGUUCUGAGUAAUCCGCCCCAUUCCAUUUAAGGUAAGCAGGUAAGAAUUCAAUUAUGAUUUCAAACCAGUUUUUUUUUUUUUGGUUUGUGUUGGUUCUUUUAUUUUUAUUGCAAUAAACUUAUGGGAAAAUUGUUAGUCCUUUUAUUUUAUUUGAGUCCAGUAAUUCAAGGCCUUUGUUAGCGUUUUCCUUAGAGUCCAAGAAAGUCGGCCCAUCUUGUUUGGACUUGUCGAUUUAGUUGUCCAAGAGAGUCCUUGUUGUUUUUGCUUCAAAGUCCCCUAGAAAGGCAUAGCUUCCAUGUAUUUAAUCCCCACUAUAAGCAGCCUUGUAUUUUUUUAGCUUAUGAAAUAUAUGAGUCUGUUUGCCCAGCAAAGAAACCAUUUUCUCUCUAGUUCUGAGUGUGAAGCCGGCUAGAAAGAACCUUGAAUGUUAUCAAGUUUUUAUCAUGAAACUUGUGGUGAUUCCUCACUCCAUUCCAUCCACCGAUCCAGCUUGAGAGAGACAUCAGUCCAGCAAGCCAGAUCCCAUCUUCACGCCAUUUCCAUCCCAUGUUCUUGUUGAGAGAGGCACACGCCCAGUAACAAGAAUCCAUAUAUCCAGAGGACACAUAUCUUCACGCCAUUUCCAUCCCAUCAUCCAUCUUCUAUCCUUCUCUUGUUUUUGUUUCAAUCGCAUCAUAUAGUUUUAGAUCGGCCAUCUUAAAUAAAAAUCCAUAAAAAGUCAUAUAUGGUUCUGUUCAUCAUUUUCCAGUUAGUUUACUUUAUAGUUCAUCUUAUAAACUCAUAAAAACUCAUAAAAUUCAUUCUCAUUUGUUUCAGGUACCAAUCGGCUGGCCAUCUCUCCAUCGCAUCCGCCUAGCCGCUCCUCCGACCGUCCGUCCAUUCUGUCCCGGCCGAUCCAUCCGAACCUCAGUCAAGCCAUCCGUGAAGUCUGAAUCUCAGCCUGUAACAAGUGCUAGAUCGACAUAUCAUUCGAUUGUGGUAGUGUACACAUUAGGUUAAUUGGUGUGCGUAUACACGUAAUAUCAGAUAUCGUACAAAAAGGUCUGUCAGUAUAACCAUACUUGAUGUCUCGGAAUAGAAUUCAUGUGUCUGCUGUAUUUUCUUUGAAUGAGUUGCGAGUUUAGGUCGAUAGAAGGCGUCUUUAUUUAUAAGAAAAUGCUAGAAGAUAUUUUUUGAAAUGAAUAAUUAUUGUUAUGAAUAUAUUUGUACUGUUUAGGAAGUUGAGAAUAUAUUGUGUGAUCUCAAAGCCAAUAUCGUUUAUGCAGCUAGCUAAGAUAAUAUAAUUUGGAAUAUUUUUCAGGAGAAGAGAUAUGGAAGUUGGUAUCGUUUUUUUAGCUCACAGGCGAUGCAUGCAUUAAUGUUCAAUGCAUAUUACAUACAUUUUAUGGAAGUUAUUAUCGACUUUAUAGGCUAUAUUGUAUAUUAUGGAAGUCGUAUGAAUUUAUGUUCGAUAUCUAUAAUAAUAGAGUUGAGCAGAAACUCUUCUCCUUGAGCCACCUCAUCUCUCAUAUCUCCAAAUUGUGACAGGUGACAGGUUAUGGGAAAACUUCUUUUUUUUUUCUUUUUCUAACUAGCAACUUUUUUUUUUUGCUUCUAGCUUUUCCACUCCAUCGUCAUCGUUACUAUUUUCUGAAACUCAGUGUUAUCACCAUUCAAUGCCAUUUUCAAUGGUUUCGUUCUAUCUCCCUUCGUUUCUCCUCCUAUUUAAACCAAUUCAUAAAAUCUUUCAAACAAUUAAAAUCGGCUUCCUCCAGAGAAGAAAAGAAUUUCAUGUCCAUGAAAUCUCUUAGAUCACCGGCACAAUAGCACAAACUGUGUGUUAUCUGGCAUGGAGAGUAGGACUUGAAGUUGUUGACCUUCCACCUGAUAUCCGAGAGAGGCCACACUCGAGAAGGAGUGCUUUUUUUUUUAACAAACGAGGAGUGCUUAAAGAACCAUUCAAUGGCUCUAAAUUCGUACAUGUCAAUAGUUUCCGAGCAUAAAUUUGGGUCAUAUAACUGGUACACUGAUGCGUACUCCUCCAGGAUAUGCAGAUUCUUAGUGUUCCUUUUCUUCUUCUUAUUUUGAUUUAAGGGAACUGCAGUAAUCAUGAUGAAGAUGAUAGAGACAGCUUUUCCUUUAUUAGAGCUGGUGGCCGAAAAGCCUUCUAGCUAAAGCUGUGACAGGUGCUCAUAUUGGAGUUAUUGGUCUUAUAAUGGGAGGUGAGCAUAUCUUUCCCAUGAUUGGAAUCGCACACCUUCCUGCAUGGUCCUGUGAGGGAAAAUAGAUAUGGGCCCAGUUGGCUUCUCAGUAACUUCCUGCAGUCAUUUCUGAAAAUCUCAUGGGUCUCUGAAGCUAUCUGCAAUAGGGAAUCGGUGUUCUUUACAUUAAAAUAAGAAGGUUUUCCGGGGAGAUCGAGUUGAGAUACCUCAUCGGCGAAACCUUGAUGGAACCAUUGUCAAAUUAAUUGUCUGAGAAAUCUCUGGGUACAAGGUGUUGUGUCAGUCCCUACCUUAAACAGAGAGUGUUGCAGGAUGUACAAAUAGAAGGGUUUGUAUGAGAAACAAAAGAAAGACUAACUCUCAGACUCAUCUGUUGGUUUGAUUGAGGUAUAGGUGUAUGUGUUGUAUUUAUCGUUAUGAUGGCAUGAGGAAGCUAUCAAGUUACUUCGCAUAGAUCAUGUAGAGGUUUCUCAAAUUCGGGCUAUGUAGCUUCAUGUAUAUGCAGUCAGAUUCGGGAGAGUACGUGAAAACUAUCUAUGAUUGUUAUUUAGCACUGGUCAUAUGCAAGUAAGAAAAUGUAUUGGACUUAUGUACAAAGGCUUUUUGAUGAAUAAAAUUUAAUAUUCAUUCAAAAAAAAAUGUAUUGGACAUAUCCUAUUCCAAGAGUGAAACUUUUUAAAUUUUCACAACAAAGUAACACAUAUACAAAUUAUAAACCAAACUUUGCUAAAGUUAUAGGAAAUAAAAUAAAAUUAUUCAUUUCAGUGUAACUGAAAAAUAAUUUUUCAGUCAAAUAAUUCAGCUAUUAUAUUUUAAAAUGAUACUUAUUUCAAAUUUAAAAUAAAUCCAAAUAGAAUGUAAAACAUAAAAUUAUAAAAUAAUAAAUUUAACAUAGAGUGGACAAUAAAGGCCGUCUUUUGCUUUGCUAAACACAAUUGUGUAAGACCAAUUCAAGAUUUGAGAUGAUGACAAAGUGAUCUACAGUUCAAUACAUCAGUUUGAGAUAGACCUUCCAUCGAAAGUUGAGAAGAUUAUCAUUACGAAAAUACAACUAAGAACAAUUUCCCGCACAACAUCAUACGAGCUGUCUAUGUAUUCUAAACUCAAUUUUGGUAUUUGUCAAACUAAUAGAAACAUUAUAUUACAAAAAUGCAAGAAAUAAAGAUAUAUGCAAAAUUUAAAACAUCAAAAUUCAGAGUAUGUCUCUACUCUUAUACUAUAUCCAACACCCUAGAAAGUUUAUGAACACGAAAAGAUUCUACAAUAUUUGAUAUCUACACAAUAAAACCAUUAGUAAAAAUUAAAUAGUAUGCGUAGUGUGGAAGAAAACUUAGUUUUGUUAUAAAAUUUUAAAAAUGCCAAAAUAAUUUACAAAAAACAAUUAGUAAAACACAAAAACUAAAGAAAAAUUCAUUAUAAAUUAAAAAUCUAAUAUAACUAAAAACAUAUAUUAUAAACAUCAUUAAUUGUUAAUGAAUAUAUAUUUAUUAUUUAUGAUAUUACUGAAAUUUAUAUAUUAUUUGUAAUAUUGCUUCUUACUUUACAUUAUAUUUUCAAAUGAUUUAGUUUGGAGGUGGAUUAAUUUACUAUCGUGAGAAAAUCAAUUAACUUAAGAAUAUUAAAAAACAAUAUUUAGAAGAAAAACAUUAGUUAUUAUUACUUUAGAAUUUUUUCAACUAUAUCAACGUGAAAUAGAAAUCAAGAAUAAGAAAUAUAAAUCAUUACAUUUUCCUUGACCUUUAAAUUUAAUAAUUUUGUUUUCUCUAACAAAAAAAUAAAUUUUAGUGGUCCUCUCAAAUUAAACCAAUAAAAUUUAAUAAAAUUUACCAUAUGAUUUUAGAAUAUAAACAUCUUAUAUUUAUUAUUAUAAUUUAAAGUAAAUUCCUAAUUUUAAUAAAAUUAUAAUAUAAAAUAGUUUUAGUGUAACUUCGGGGGGGCAAACCACUAGUUAAGGAAUAUAUUUAUACAGUUAAUGCUAUUCAUAAUAUAUUGUGUAACCUAGUGUUGGUUAAAAUCGUGUAUGCAUUAAAGAUUAUAUAUAUAUAUAUACUAUUAUUUGAGAAGUGAAUUUGCUUAUUUGUCAUGUUCUCCAUGAUUUUAGGCUAAGUCAUAUUUUUAAUUUUAAUUCAGAGUAGACUAAAUAAAAUUUUUGAUAUUUGUAAUGAAUAAUUAUAUAAUUUUUAUUUAUGUCCACAGGAGAGAUGGAAAGUUUAUGGUAUUACAUUUGUAGUGUCUGGUCAAACGAGAGUUAUCACCAACCAAUAGGAUUUCAUUAUUUCAAAUUCGAUAUUUUUUAAAAAAUAAAACAAAAUAUUGUCAAGUUAUAUUAUGUUUUUAAUAUAAAAAAGUAAAAAAAAAUAGUAAUUACAGAAAGAAAAAAAAUUAAAAAAUAUAUUUUUAA